rnacentral:rRNA from 1 species
GUAGGUGGCGAGCGUUAUCCGGAAUCAUUGGGCGUAAAGGGUGCGUAGGUGGCACGAUAAGUCUGUAGUAAAAGGCAGCGGCUCAACCGCUGUUGGCUAUGGAAACUGUCGAGCUGGAGUGCAGAAGAGGGCGAUGGAAUUCCAUGUGUAGCGGUAAAAUGCGUAGAUAUAUGGAGGAACACCAGUGGCGAAGGCGGCCGCCUGGUCUGCAACUGACACUGAAGCUCGAAAGUGCGGGUAUCGAACAGGAUUAGAUACCCUGGUAGUCCGCACGGUAAACGAUGGAUGCCCGCUGUUGGUCUGAAUAGGUCAGCGGCCAAGCGAAAGCAUUAAGCAUCCCACCUGGGGAGU